AGAAUCAACGCUGGCGGCGUGCCUAACACAUGCAAGUCGCACGAGAAAGGGACUUCGGUCCUGAGUACAGUGGCGCACGGGUGAGUAACACGUGAAUAAUCUACCUCCGAGUGGGGAAUAACUGAGAGAAAUCUUAGCUAAUACCGCAUAACACUUACGAGUCAAAGCAGCAAUGCGCUUGGAGAGGAGUUCGCGGCAGAUUAGUUAGUUGGCGGGUAAUGGCCCACAGACGAUGAUCUGUAU
rnacentral:rRNA from 1 species